UGCCGGAAUAGCUCAGUUGGUAGAGCAGAGGACUGAAAAUCCUCGUGCA
rnacentral:tRNA from 1 species